AUCGCUUCUCAGCCUUUUGGCUAAGAUCAAGUGUAGUAUCUAUUAACAUUCCAGUAGUGAUUUCCAAAUUUGCCUCUACAAUAUAUGAUUAAUGUAACAUGUGUAGAUUUUAUGGAAAGCUGUAUUUUGGGGGGGUCUAAUGGGAGGCUUUGCUCCAUAUUAUUUCUACAUAAA
ensembl:snRNA U2 U2 spliceosomal RNA